GCAAUGUCUCCUUUGUUUUAUUGUUGGUAUAUAAACUUAAAAUCUCAGUUCUUUUUAUGGCACUUGUGGAGCCACUUCCUCUCCUCACCAAAAAAUGCCCAGUACCCUGAAUCCGAUCAAAUUACUCUCCUAAAGUAUAAGGCUUAGUUUCUGUGUGCUGCUUCGCGAGACAGUUCCCACAAAUCGAGAGUGUUAAUCAGACUUUUGUGUUUUCUUUUUUGGAUUGCUGUUGUUUGUUUUCAUUUAUCAUUUGUCUUUGCCUAAGCCAGGCUCAUCAAGAAUUAACAGCCAUCAGGCUGCCGAUGUGCUGACAGCAGACCCACUUAGAGUCCUGUGUUUGUAAUUCCAUGCAUUUGUUAUUUUACCUGUUUUGUCCCUGCCCCUUCUAGUCCUGUGCCUCCUGAUUGCUGAGUGUUCACCUGGACCUUCUGACUACCUUCCCUGUGCUAUUCCAUCAGCCUACAGACCUGGUACCUGGAUUUUUGCCCGAGAUGAUUCCUACCACCUUACUACUGACGAAGACACCCAUUCCAGUGGACCACUGUGACCCAGGAGGCAUUCAGCCAUCAUGAUGUGGCCUUUACCUCCACUCCUGUCUUGUUCUACCCAGAUUCAGCACAGCCCUUUAUAGUGAAGUCAGAGUCCUCAAGCCAAAUAGCUAAAGCUGUUUUAUCACAACAAAGGCCUAGUUUGUUCCAUGAGUGUGCAUUUCAUUUCUUCAGUUAAAGCCUUCAGAGACACACAAUAAAUUUGGACCAGGGGAUUUUUUAGUUAUUAAUGCUCUCUGAAGAAAGGCAACAUCUUUUUGAGAGCAGCAUUGGACCACACCCCACAAUCUCAAAUGAUUGAAAUUCAUGAACAUCUAGGAUCCCGUGAAGGUCACUGGACCCUGUUUUUUCUACUUCAAAUCCUGUAGUAGCCUACUGAAUGAGAAAACAUAUUCUGACCCAUUGGGAUCAAAUCAAAGGCACAGUGAACUCCUCAUAGCAUCUUCUUUGGAAUUACUCAGGAACCAGAACUUUUUACACAAAUGUAAGAAAUUCUACCAAGGAGUCCCCUUACCUAACAGCAUCUCACAAGGCUGCACCAGAUUCCAGAAAAGGCUUCUCUUGAUACAUCAAGGUAGAACCUCUAUGCAUUUUGUGACCGACUUAUUCUUAGAUCAUUGGUUUUCCAAAGGCUUUGUGGCCAUGAAGCCCUUUGAGUGAAAACUGUGCAGAAGCCCAGAGUAAAAGUGAAGCUGCUCUGGAUGAAGUAGUGAAGCAAGAGUAGGGGCCUGAAUCCUGCUACAACUAUCUUCCUUUACCACCGUGGUGACACCUAAGGGGACUUCCUUACAACACCUUGAACUCUUCCGAACACAGUUUGAAAACCACUGCCCCAGACAGCAAUAUGUUUGACCUGAAUGGCAUUCCAAUCUUUUCUGUACCUCCACUCAGCACAGUUCAUGUUCAGUAGAUGCUGAACAUUCUUAGAAAUACUGUGUGUGAACUUAGAAAAGUGCAAGAAGACAGGCAUGUCUUUGACCCCAGGAAUGAUCAUUUGCUGAAGAUGGUGUCAAGUGAACCUAGAUUAACAGCCCUCCACUCCAGAUGGAUAUCCAGUGAUUCCUAGAAUGGGAUAUAGCCAGAGAACAAUUCUAUGCACCCUACACUGACAGACUCCCUUAAGCAACACCAGAUGCUCUACUGGUACUUGAAGUACAUGACUUUGAAGUCUUGACCCUCCAUGAAUACCUGAAUUAUCAGCAAGCGGGUUUUGAAGCUGGUGCCUCAUUGAGGCCAUAUUAGAGCAACUUGUACAUUUGACCUCUUGUUAUCAGCCAUGGUACUCUACUUCGUGUGCAAGAGAUAACUAUGAAAGCCAAAUUCAAAUACUGGCAACAUUUCCUAAAGGGGCUCAAUAUCUAUCAUUCGUCUUCUUUUCCAAACUACACAUCACUGUAUGACUCAACCAGUAGCAGUUAUAUUGCCCCUUGGUUUUUAUUCAGUUUAACUACUGUUUCCAAGAUAAAUGAGCUAAUAAGCUUU
rnacentral:lncRNA from 1 species